rnacentral:rRNA from 1 species
UACGUAGGAUGCAAGCGUUGUCCGGAAUUAUUGGGCGUAAAGAGCGAGCAGGCGGCAUACCAAGUUGGACGUGAAAUUUUAGGGCUUAACCCUAAAGGGUCGUCCAAAACUGGUAAGCUAGAGUGCAGGAGAGGAAAGCGGAAUUCCCGGUGUAGUGGUGAAAUGCGUAGAUAUCGGGAGGAACACCAGUGGCGAAGGCGGCUACCUGGACCGGUUCUGACGCUGAGGCGCGAAAGCGUGGGUAGCAAACAGG